rnacentral:lncRNA from 1 species
CUAAAGGAAUGAGCAAGAAUGAAGCCUUCGUCUCUGAGGAUCUUUGUAUGUCUUUGUAGAGGCUUGGAGAGAGGCGAGUGUAUAGUUUUAAUGUGAUACACAGGGAUGACCACUUCCAAUGAAAAACAGAAAGGGAGGUUCUACAAGGAAACAUUUCUGACAAUCCAACAAACUGGUGAAAGGAACCUCAGAAGACUGAAGACAGACAGCAUUGCUAAGUUAACCUGAAAAGGUCUGAAUUAAUCUCGUCUAAUCAUGGACAUCUGCAGUGCUGUCAUUUACUUUUGAGCUACCCACCUGAAGUUUAUGUUAUUGGUGAAGAGAAAUGGGGACUUCUAG